AAACUGAAGAGUUUGAUCAUGGCUCAGAUUGAACGCUGGCGGCAUGCUUUACACAUGCAAGUCGAACGGCAGCACGGGGGCAACCCUGGUGGCGAGUGGCGAACGGGUGAGGAAUACAUCGGAACGUGUCUAUAAGUGGGGGAUAACGCAUCGAAAGGUGUGCUAAUACCGCAUAAUCUCUCAGGAGAAAAGCAGGGGAUCGCAAGACCUUGCGCUUUAGGAGCGGCCGAUGCCUGAUUAGCUUGUUGGUAAGGUAAAAGCUUACCAAGGCUUCGAUCAGUAGCUGGUCUGAGAGGACGACCAGCCACACUGGGACUGAGACACGGCCCAGACUCCUACGGGAGGCAGCAGUGGGGAAUAUUGGACAAUGGGGGAAACCCUGAUCCAGCCAUGCCGCGUGAGUGAAGAAGGCCUUCGGGUUGUAAAGCUCUUUCAGCCGGAACGAAACGGUUACGAUUAAUACUCGUAAUUAAUGACGGUACCGGCAGAAGAAGCACCGGCUAACUACGUGCCAGCAGCCGCGGUAAUACGUAGGGUGCGAGCGUU
rnacentral:rRNA from 1 species